GGUUGCGAUCAUACCAGCACUAAUGCACCGGAUCCUAUCAGAACUCCGUAGUUAAGCGUGCUUGGGCGAGAGUAGUACUAGGAUGGGUGACCCCCUGGGAAGUCCUCGUGUUGCAACCC
rnacentral:rRNA from 1 species